rnacentral:misc_RNA from 1 species
CCGAGUUCAUGCCCCUAGGGGUAGAUCUCCCACCCUGUGUUAUCACUACCUCUUGUUGCUUUGGCGGGCCGUCAGGCUGCGGCCUGGCUACCGGCUCCGGCUGGUGAGCGCCCGCCAGAGGACCCUAAACCCUGAAUGUUAGUGUCGUCUGAGUACUAUACAAUAGUUA